rnacentral:pre_miRNA from 1 species
AAUAAACGAAUUUCUGAGUUUUUGGAUAGAAUUUUUAACUCUUUGUCUUAUUUAAAAAAUUUUAUAAUUAAUAUUUUUAUUGUUACUCCAUGAUAAAACAUGAAUAGGACUUUACAUAUGAUUAUUUUUUUAUUUUUAAUAAAUUUUUUAAAUAAGACUAAUGGUUAAACGCUAAAUCUAGAAAACCAUAAAUUCUCUUUUU